CCUACGGGAGGCAGCAGUGAGGAAUAUUGGUCAAUGGACGAGAGUCUGAACCAGCCAAGUAGCGUGAAGGAUGACUGCCCUAUGGGUUGUAAACUUCUUUUAUAUGGGAAUAAAACAGGGUAUGCAUACCCUCUUGUAUGUACCAUAUGAAUAAGGAUCGGCUAACUCCGUGCCAGCAGCCGCGGUAAUACGGAGGAUCCGAGCGUUAUCCGGAUUUAUUGGGUUUAAAGGGAGCGUAGGUGGAUUGUUAAGUCAGUUGUGAAAGUUUGCGGCUCAACCGUAAAAUUGCAGUUGAAACUGGCAGUCUUGAGUACAGUAGAGGUGGGCGGAAUUCGUGGUGUAGCGGUGAAAUGCUUAGAUAGCACGAAGAACUCCGAUUGCGAAGGCAGCUCACUGGACUGCAACUGACACUGAUGCUCGAAAGCGUGGGUAGCAAACAGGAUUAGAUACCCCUGUAGUC
rnacentral:rRNA from 1 species